rnacentral:misc_RNA from 1 species
UCCGGUUUGUCACCGGCAGUCCCAUUAGAGUGCCCAACUGAAUGUAGCAACUAAUGGCAAGGGUUGCGCUCGUUGCGGGACUUAACCCAACAUCUCACGACACGAGCUGACGACAGCCAUGCAGCACCUGUGUCCAGGUUCCCUUUCGGGCACCCCCGCAUCUCUGCGGGGUUCCUGGCAUGUCAAGGGUAGGUAAGGUUCUUCGCGUUGCAUCGAAUUAAUCCACAUAAUCCACCGCUUGUGCGGGUCCCCGUCAAUUCCUUUGAGUUUUAAUCUUGCGACCGUACUCCCCAGGCGGUCGACUUCACGCGUUAGCUACGUUACUGAGGGACAGACUCCCCCAACAACUAGUCGACAUAGUUUAGGGCGUGGACUAC